rnacentral:rRNA from 1 species
AGCGAACGCUGGCGGCAGGCCUAACACAUGCAAGUCGAACGGAUCCUUCGGGAUUAGUGGCGGACGGGUGAGUAACACGUGGGAACGUGCCUUUUGGUUCGGAACAACUCAGGGAAACUUGAGCUAAUACCGGAUGUGCCCUUCGGGGAAGGAUUUAUCGCCAUUAGAGCGGCCCGCGUCUGAUUAGCUAGUUGGUGGGGUAAAGGCCUACCAAGGCUACGAUCAGUAGCUGGUCUGAGAGGAUGAUCAGCCACACUGGGACUGAGACACGGCCCAGACUCCUACGGGAGGC